AUUGAACGCUGGCGGCAUGCCUUACACAUGCAAGUCGAACGGCAGCACGGGAGCAAUCCUGGUGGCGAGUGGCGAACGGGUGAGCAAAGUAUCGGAACGUGCCCAGUCGUGGGGGAUAACGUAGCGAAAGUUACGCUAAUACCGCAUACGAUCUAUGGAUUAAAGCGGGGGAUCGCAAGAACUCGCGCGAUUGUAGCGGCCGAUAUCAGAUUAGGUAGUUGGUGGGGUAAAGGCUCACCAAGCCGACGAUCUGUAGCGGGUCUGAGAGGACGACCAGCCACACUGGGACUGAGACACGGCCCAGACUCCUACGGGAGGCAGCAGUGGGGAAUUUUGGACAAUGGGCGCAAGCCUGAUCCAGCCAUGCCGCGUGCAGGAUGAAGGCCUUCGGGUUGUAAUCUGCUUUUGUACGGAACGAAAAGGUUUGACUUAAUACGUUGGACUCAUGACGGUACCGUAAGAAUAAGCACCGGCUAACUACGUGCCAGCCGCCGCUGUAA
rnacentral:rRNA from 1 species